UACGAAGGGGGCUAGCGUUGCUCGGAAUCACUGGGCGUAAAGGGUGCGUAGGCGGGUCUUUAAGUCAGGGGUGAAAUCCUGGAGCUCAACUCCAGAACUGCCUUUGAUACUGAAGAUCUUGAGUUCGGGAGAGGUGAGUGGAACUGCGAGUGUAGAGGUGAAAUUCGUAGAUAUCGUUUGGAACGCCAAUGGUGAAAACAGGUUGCUGGGAGUGUGCUGACGCUGAGACACGAAAGCCAGGGGAGCGAACGGG
rnacentral:rRNA from 1 species